AUGGGGGACUAUGAACCCUACUCCCCGCCUCACCGUCGUGCUGUUUUUGGUCGCAAUGAUCAUCAUUACGACCGUCGUGAUCAGGAUGACCAUGACAACCAAGCGAGAGUGAAGCUACAUGUGCCAUCAUUCACGGGAAAAGAGGACCCGAAUGCAUAUAUUGAGUGGGAAGAGAAGUGUGAUCAAAUCUUUCGCAUCCAUGGUUUUUCUCAAGCCAAGAGAGUUGAUCUUGCUGUUAUGGAGUUCUCUGGUUAUGCUCUUACAUGGUGGAAUCAGCUGCAAGACGAUCGGUUGAUGUCAGGCAAUAAUCAUAUCUGCAGCUGGACUUUGAUGAAGGAAGUCAUGAGGCGCCGUUUUGUUCCAUCAUACUAUGAGAGGCAAGUGUACAAGCGGUUGCAGGGGCUCACUCAAGGUUCUCGCACUAUUGAGGAGUACUAUAAAGAGAUGGAGGUGCUGCUAAUUCAGACAAGAACCCGUGAAUGUCUAUGA
rnacentral:rRNA from 1 species